rnacentral:snoRNA from 1 species
GAUGCAAUGCAGUGUUGAUAUUGAGGAUUUUGGCAGUGGUGACAUCAGUUGUCGUGAGCUUUCAAUCCAAAAAAACGACUUCUCUUUCCACUGAGCAUU